UGGGGAAUAUUGGGCAAUGGGCGCAAGCCUGACCCAGCCACGCCGCGUGAGUGAUGAAGGCCUUCGGGUCGUAAAGCUCUGUGGGGAGGGACGAAAAAACAUUGGCCAAUAUCCAAUGGACUGACGGUACCUCCUUAGCAAGCACCGGCUAACUCUGUGCCAGCAGCCGCGGUAAUACAGAGGGUGCAAACGUUGCUCGGAAUCAUUGGGCGUAAAGCGCACGUAGGCGGCCUAGCAAGUAAGGAGUGAAAGCCCUCGGCUUAACCGAGGAAGUGCUUUUUAAACUACUAGGCUUGAAUACUGGAGAGGGUCGCGGAAUUCCCGGUGUAGAGGUGAAAUUCGUAGAUAUCGGGAGGAACACCAGUGGCGAAGGCGGCGACCUGGACAGAUAUUGACGCUGAGGUGCGAAAGCGUGGGGAGCAAACAGGAUUAGAUACCCCUGUAGUCC
rnacentral:rRNA from 1 species